rnacentral:rRNA from 1 species
UACGUAGGGGGCUAGCGUUGUCCGGAAUCAUUGGGCGUAAAGCGCGUGUAGGCGGCCCGAUAAGUCCGCUGUGAAAGUCCAAGGCUCAACCCUGGGAUGCCGGUGGAUACUGUCGGGCUCGAGUCCGGAAGAGGCGAGUGGAAUUCCUGGUGUAGCGGUGAAAUGCGCAGAUAUCAGGAGGAACACCAAUGGCGAAGGCAGCUCGCUGGGACGUGACUGACGCUGAGACGCGAAAGCGUGGGGAGCAAACAGG